GACGGAGGAGGCAAGCGUUAUCCGGAAUUAUUGGGCGUAAAGCGUCCGCAGGUGGCUUCCCAAGUCUGUUGUCAAAGCCCAGGGCUCAACUCUGGAUAGGCAAUGGAAACUGGGUCGCUAGAGUAUGGCAGGGGUAGAGGGAAUUCCCGGUGUAGCGGUGAAAUGCGUAGAUAUCGGGAAGAACACCAGUGGCGAAGGCGCUCUACUGGACCAUAACUGACACUCAUGGACGAAAGCUAGGGGAGCGAAAGGG
rnacentral:rRNA from 1 species